rfam:Medicago truncatula strain A17 chromosome 1, whole genome shotgun sequence.
UUAUAAACAAAACUUUGCAUUUUAGAUUCAUUUAUUUAAUGAUGUAUGUGGUCUAUAAUAAAGACCACAUACAUCAUUAAAUAAAUGAAUCUAAAAUACAAAGUCUUGCUUAUAG